rnacentral:rRNA from 1 species
GGGUGAGUAAUGUCUGGGAAACGGCCCGAUGGAGGGGGAUAACUACUGGAAACGGUAGCUAAUACCGCAUAACGUCGCAAGACCAAAGAGGGGGACCUCCGGGCCCCUUGCCAUCGGAUGUGCCCAGAUGGGAUUAGCUAGUAGGUGGGGUAACGGCUCACCUAGGCGACGAUCCCUAGCUGGUCUGAGAGGAUGACCAGCCACACUGGAACUGAGACACGGUCCAG